rnacentral:rRNA from 1 species
UAACAAGGAUUCCCCUAGUAACUGCGAGUGAAGCGGGAACAGCUCAAAUUUAAAAUCUGGUGGUUCCGCCGCCCGAGUUGUAGUCUGGAGAAGUGUUAUCCGUGUCGGACCGUGUACAAGUCUCCUGGAAUGGAGCGUCAUAGAGGGUGAGAAUCCCGUCCAUGACACGGAUUCCCGAUGCUUUGUGAGGCACUCUCAAAGAGUCGAGUUGUUUGGGAAUGCAGCUCAAAAUGGGUGGUAAAUUCCAUCUAAAGCUAAAUAUUGGCGAGAGACCGAUAGCGAACAAGUACCGUGAGGGAAAGAUGAAAAGCACUUUGGAAAGAGAGUUAAACAGUACGUGAAAUUGUUGAAAGGGAAACGCUUGAAGUCAGUCGCGUCUUGUGGAACUCAGCCUGGCCUCGGUCUGGUGUACUUUCCAUGGGACGGGUCAACAUCAAUUUCAGCCGGUGGAAAAGGGCGGGGGGAAUGUAGCGCCGUUUCGGCGGCGUGUUAUAGCCUCUCGUCGUAUACGCUGGCUGGGAUUGAGGACUGCAGCACGCCCUUGUGGCCGGGGUUCGCCCACGUAACGUGCUUAGGAUGUUGGCAUAAUGGCUUUAAGCGACCCGUCUUGAAACACGGACCAAGGAGUCUAACAUGCUUGCGAGUGUUCGGGUGGAAAACCCUUGCGCGUAAUGAAAGUGAAAGUUGGGAACCUCCGCAAGGGGGUGCACCGACGCCCGGCCCUGACGUUCUCUGACGGUGCUGCGGUAGAGCAAGUAUGUUGGGACCCGAAAGAUGGUGAACUAUGCCUGAAUAGGGCGAAGCCAGAGGAAACUCUGGUGGAGGCUCGUAGCGAUUCUGACGUGCAAAUCGAUCGUCAAAUUUGGG